UACGUAGGGUGCGAGCGUUGUCCGGAAUUAUUGGGCGUAAAGAGCUCGUAGGCGGUUUGUCGCGUCGACUGUGAAAACCUACAGCUUAACUGUGGACUUGCAGUCGAUACGGGCAGACUUGAGUUCGGUAGGGGAGACUGGAAUUCCUGGUGUAGCGGUGAAAUGCGCAGAUAUCAGGAGGAACACCGGUGGCGAAGGCGGGUCUCUGGGCCGAUACUGACGCUGAGGAGCGAAAGCGUGGGGAGCGAACAGG
rnacentral:rRNA from 1 species